GAGAGUGGGUGUGAGUGGGUGUGAGCUACAGUAAGUGUGAGUGUGUCUGUUCUCCAGGUCUCAGCAGUUGGAGUUUCAGGAAGUUUUAUUUUGGAGAAAUCUUUCGAGGUCGAAAAUGUUCGUCCGGGAAAAGUGAAGAUUUAUGAGUAUUACGAACCCGGAAAGGCGUUGGUUCACGCAUCACUUCUGAGAUAUCUGGCUGAUGAGAUAUCCCGUCGCACCCAUCCGCUGUAUGUUGGUAAGGUGGCAGGUCAUCAAAAGACUGGACCACACUCACACGGGAACAAUCGUGCUGAUGUCGUUGCUCACCAGUCCGCUCUUGAUGGAGAAGCAUUGAUGUCUUCCCCUCUUCCAUCUGCCUCAGUGAUGAGUAUCUCAACUUCGCCCUCUUUGACUGAUUUGAUUAAACUCCAGAAUUCAUAUCUGCCUUACAUCGAAGCCGUGCAGUGGCACCAGGAGCAACUUGCUGGACUUGACAUCCAUCCCGAACCACAAUAUGAUUGGCUAAUGCACACCCAUUUGCACCAACAGAGUGAUUACCGGAUCUUCUGUAUCAAUAUGGAUCUGGAUGGAAUUACUGGAGGCCUGGUGCUUGGCGUUGUAAUACUACUAAUCCAGAACUGCCAUGUUUACUGCCCCCUUUGAUGGAAACCCUCAUAAUAUUUUCUUAUUAACAGCUUAUAGAUAUACACAAAAUAACUAGGUGUCUAGUUGUUAUGUGUGCGCUAAUAUGCCAACAUCUGUUAAACAUAGAAUACCGGUCAGGGCCAUUCCUGGCAAUAUUAGCUCAACUGCAUUUUGGUAUUACAACCAAAAUCAGACGAAUGUUGACCACGCGCCUGCAUGUGACUGGUCAAUUCCUAUUGGGGACGAUCGAAGACGGUGGGAAUCGGCAGGGUAUAAUUUUAAGGAAUACCGUGGGUAUUACCAACCACCAUAUGAUGUUACCCUCUCACCCCCGAAAUUAAGUGUUCCCAACCCCCCUUCAGGUGAGAUCUGCAUCUCCCGCAAUAUAACUGGGGGAUUUCCUGAAGAAGAGAGCAAAUGUGCCCAGACAUUUGUGAUAGGUAACGGUCCGUGUUCCCACCCACGGCAUUGGCUAUAUACCAUCCUCAGUUUCAAAAACUUCACCACAGGUACUUCCUUUAGCCAAGUUUGGUUUCCCCUGAGGUUGGGACCCAACAUUACUGCGUAUAACAACACUUAUUUUGUAUGCGGAAACAAGGCCUAUCCAUGGCUGCAGUUUAAUUGGACAGGGAAAUGCUAUCUCGCUUAUGUUGUCCCAGGUCUAAGACACACCUAUAAGUUAUUAAAUGACCACCAUAUUAACAAAAGAUCCAUCACUAAGGCCGAACGUUUCUUUGCUAUUGCUUUUCCCAUGUAUGGAACUUCUAAGCUUUCCCAAGAGAGCAUUAGUAUGGCUAAAAUCCUUGAGCAGGUGGCAAAUGAUACAGCAGAAGCUGUUGACUCUUUGACAGAGUCUUGUAAAAUUGCAUGGCAUUAGAUUUCGUGUUGGCCAAAGAAGGAGGUGCAUGCGCCGUAAUUGGGUCUGAGAUAACUCCGAGAAUGUAUGUAGCUUGACUGAUCAUAUCCGGAAAGAGAUGGAUAAAUUGAAGCAGACCCCACCUUCAUCUCUUUGGGCAUGGACCACUGCUUGGUUGGGUUCUAUUGGAAGUUCACUGUUACAUGGGCUAAUUAUUAUUGUUGUGAUUUUGCGUUGCGUUUAUUGCGCUGUUACGGGUGUGAAGUUUAUUUUUCUUAAAGUUAUGUCUAGUGUGGUUUCCUCUGAGGUAUCCUUUGUAGGGAAUGAUGGAAACUAUUGUUUCCUGGAAGUACCACCCUCCCUCCCAGGUUGUGUGAUUUUUUUUAUUACCUUCCUUUAUACCAUUUAUACUUUCUAUACUUUUAUAUUAUCUGUCUUUUAUACUAUCAGGUUGUGUAACCUUAUAUUAUUUUCCUGAUUUUAUACUGUAUUUCUUUUGUCAUUUUGUGA